rnacentral:ncRNA from 2 species
GCAGCCUGCUGGGGGAGUUCUUCGAGAACUGAGACGGGCACCGCCCGAACCCUUACCACCUGAUCCGGGUAAUGCCGGCGUAGGGAAGCGGCCAGAGACCUCG